GGGGGCGACAGGUCUCGACGGGAUGGCUGAGGUCAAACCUGCGCGCCGAGGUCCCCGGUUUGCCUCGUUAAUCAAUCGGGAACACUGUAAGUGCCAACGAUUACUCGUUUGCAUUAGCCGCCUAAGACACUGGUGGCUCGUUCUACCCGGAUUUGCUUAUCGGUUCGGGAUAGGGCGUCGACUCAGAUAAGAUAGCGUCACGUCACGUCCUCGGGCGGGACGCGAAAUAACAGAGGGCUGGGCCGCUGGGAAGCCUGACAGCCGGCGAUUCAUCGGCCGAGAUCAAAAGACUGCCUAUGCGCGUAGACGGUUUUUCGGACGCGUCUUCGGACGGGGGUUCGAUUCCCCCCGCCUCCAGUA
rnacentral:tmRNA from 1 species